rnacentral:pre_miRNA from 1 species
UCAGAUUAUUAAUGUUAAUGGUUCACGUGUAGCGGGGACCCCCUAUAGAUCCCCAUGGAUACUAGUAGGCUGGUU